AGGAGAGUGCACUGUAAGGAGAGUGCAGGCACUUAUGCUGUGGUCAGUGAUUUCUGGUUCCAUCUCUGUGAGCUGUACCUGAGCGCAGCUCUGAAGCGGGUCAAGACUAACUGCUAUGAUGUCUCCAUACACAGCACACAAAGGAGAUCCUGCUCCUCUAUCUCUCUGUAGCAACCAUUACAGAAGCAGCAGCAUGGAGGACCUUAUACAGCACUACUGAGCACUGUUGUUGUGAAUCCAGCAACUCUGUGUCUCUCUUGCAGCAUUUUCUCCCUCCCUCCUUUUCC